rnacentral:rRNA from 1 species
CCUACGGGAGGCAGCAGUGGGGAAUAUUGGGCAAUGGAGGCAACUCUGACCCAGCAACGCCGCGUGAAUGAUGAAGGUCUUCGGAUUGUAAAGUUCUUUUCUAAGGGAAGAAGAAAGUGACGGUACCUUAGGAAUAAGCCUCGGCUAACUACGUGCCAGCAGCCGCGGUAAUACGUAGGGAGCGAGCGUUGUCCGGAAUUACUGGGUGUAAAGGGAGCGUAGGCGGGACUGCAAGUUGGGUGUCAAAUCUACCGGCUCAACCGGUAGCCGCACUCAAAACUGCAGUUCUUGAGUGAAGUAGAGGCAGGCGGAAUUCCUAGUGUAGCGGUGAAAUGCGUAGAUAUUAGGAGGAACACCAGUGGCGAAGGCGGCCUGCUGGGCUUUUACUGACGCUGAGGCUCGAAAGUGUGGGGAGCAAACAGGAUUAGAUACCCUGGUAGUC